UAGCAUUUCAAAACAACCCACAAAACAUCCAUAACCAAAACAAUAGAACAAAACACAAUAUCCUUAUAACUAAUAAUAAUACGUUCAGUUAAACACAACUUCUGAAUAUUCGAAACGAAACAAUACAAAAGAAACCGUUUUUACUACAAUUCACCAACACAACAAAAUGCCCCCUACAUUCAUAACCAAAAUACCCCAUCCAUCACCACAA
rnacentral:lncRNA from 1 species